UCGGGAAUUUUGGGCAAUGGGCGAAAGCCUGACCCAGCAACGCCGCGUGAAGGAUGAAGUAUUUCGGUAUGUAAACUUCGAAAGAAUAGGAAGAAUAAAUGACGGUACUAUUUAUAAGGUCCGGCUAACUACGUGCCAGCAGCCGCGGUAAGACGGAGGGCGCAAGCGUUGUUCGGAAUUACUGGGCGUAAAGCGCGGGCAGGCGGUCUGUUAAGUCGUUUGUGAAAAUCCGGGGCUCAACCCCGGAAAUGCAUACGAUACUGGCAGGCUGGAGACUGGUAGAGGCUAGCGGAAUUCCUGGUGUAGCGGUGGAAUGCGUAGAUAUCAGGAAGAACACCUGUGGCGAAGGCGGCUAGCUGGGCCAGUUCUGACGCUGAUCCGCGAAAGCGUGGGGAGCAAACAGGAUUAGAUACCCACGUAGUCCCUGAGCGGGCUGGCAAGGCGCAU
rnacentral:rRNA from 1 species